rnacentral:rRNA from 1 species
CCUUUGAAGUUAGCGGCGGACGGGUGAGUAACACGUGGGUAACCUACCUAUAAGACUGGGAUAACUUCGGGAAACCGGAGCUAAUACCGGAUAACAUUUAGAACCGCAUGGUUCUAAAGUGAAAGAUGGUUUUGCUAUCACUUAUAGAUGGACCCGCGCCGUAUUAGCUAGUUGGUAAGGUAACGGCUUACCAAGGCGACGAUACGUAGCCGACCUGAGAGGGUGAUCGGCCACACUGGAACUGAGACACGGUCCAGACUCCUACGGGAGGCAGCAG